rnacentral:tRNA from 1 species
CUUUAACUCAAUGGUAGAGUAACCGGCUUUUAACCGGUAGGUUGUGGGUUCAAAUCCCAU